rnacentral:tRNA from 1 species
GGAGGGGUGGCCGAGCGGACGAAGGCGGCGGUCUUGAAAACCGCUUCCCGCACACCUGCGGGACGGGGGUUCGAAUCCCUCCCCCUCCGCCA